rnacentral:rRNA from 2 species
UACAGAGGUCCCGAGCGUUGUUCGGAUUUACUGGGCGUAAAGGGUGCGUAGGUGGUCGGGUAAGUCUCAUGUGAAAUCCCGCAGCUUAACUGCGGAACGGCAUGGGAUACUAUUCGGCUCGAGGAUUGGAGGGGGGACUGGAAUUCCCGGUGUAGCAGUGAAAUGCGUAGAUAUCGGGAGGAACACCAGUGGCGAAGGCGAGUCCCUGGACAAUUCCUGACGCUGAGGCACGAAAGCCAGGGGAGCAAACAGG